AGUGAACGCUGGCGGUAGGCCUAACACAUGCAAGUCGAACGGCAGCACAGUAAGAGCUUGCUCUUACGGGUGGCGAGUGGCGGACGGGUGGGGAAUACAUCGGAAUCUACUUUUUCGUGGGGGAUAACGUAGGGAAACUUACGCUAAUACCGCAUACGACCUACGGGUGAAAGCAGGGGAUCUUCGGACCUUGCGCGAUUGAAUGAGCCGAUGUCGGAUUAGCUAGUUGGCGGGGUAAAGGCCCACCAAGGCGACGAUCCGUAGCUGGUCUGAGAGGAUGAUCAGCCACACUGGAACUGAGACACGGUCCAGACUCCUACGGGAGGCAGCAGUGGGGAAUAUUGGACAAUGGGCGCAAGCCUGAUCCAGCCAUACCGCGUGGGUGAAGAAGGCCUUCGGGUGUAAAGCCCUUUUGUUGGGAAAGAAAAGCAGCAGGUUAAUACCCCGCUGUUCUGACGGUACCCAAAGAAUAAGCACCGGCUAACUUCGU
rnacentral:rRNA from 1 species